rnacentral:rRNA from 1 species
GACGAACGCUGGCGGUGCGCUUAACACAUGCAAGUCGAACGGAAAGGCCCUGCUUUCGUGGGGUGCUUGAGUGGCGAACGGGUGAGUAACACGUGAGUAACCUGCUCUUGACUUUGGGAUAACUACCGGAAACUGGGGCCAAAACCGGAAAGGAGCUCCUGCUGCCCGUCGGGGGUUGGAAAGCUUCUGCGGUUGGGGAUGGAUUCGCGGCUUAUCAGCUUGUUGGCGGGGUAGUGGCUUACCAAGGCUUUGCCGGGUAGCCGGCCUGAGAGGGUGACCGGCCAGAUGGGUACUGAGGUACGGCCCGAUCUCCUACGGGGGGCAGCAGUGAAGAAUGUUGCACAAUGGGCGGAAGCCGGAUGCAGCAACGCCGCGUGCCGAAUAACGGUCUUCUGGUUGUAUUCCGCUUUCGCCAGUGACGAAGCGUAAGUGACGGUAAUGGGUAAAGAGGCACCGGCUAACUACGUG